AUGGCUGACAAUAAAAAUAUUCCUAGGCCAUUUGGAAACUUAAUUUAUUUAGUUUAUUUUUGUUUUCUGCCCUCAAGUCUUCCACCAGCACCACGACAGGAUGUUCAUGGACAGAAGCCAUCUGCAUCCACCCAGCUGUGCGGCUGUGUGAGAUAUAUGUGGAGAUGCUGGUUGGAGCCAUUUGAUGGCAUUCAGCUUUGUGUGUCCCCCAAGGAGAAGAAAGAAUCCUCCAGCAGGUCUGGGUUGUGCUUCUGGCCGUACAACAUCUGUGGAGAAGAAGGAUGUCAUGUGGAAUUUACAACAGAUCCUAAUGGGAGAGUCUCCCUAUCGAUACCCAAGAUUGUGGAGAUGUACAGAAAUUAUGCACCCGCUGAAAGCCAAAUCUUGGCAUAGUCUUGGAACCUGAUUUCCCCUACCUGGCAUGUGCCAUCAGGUAGCCAUCAACCAGAAAUAACCUGGCAGGCUGGAUUCUGUCUGACUACCAAGUUAGGAAGGCUGAAGGGUUCAUAAACAAUCAAUUAUAUGAAAGAAGUGAAACAGAGUGUAGCAACAGGCAUGGGACCAAGAAUUCCCUUUUAAAAGUACAGCUGAAGGAGCCCCGCUCAGUCCCAAAGUGGCCUGGAUGACUUCCCCUUUUGUUUGCCAGAGCCAAAUCGAUCUUUUGUGACUUUGCUCUGCUCAUGUUACUUUACAAUCCAGCUUGGAGCUGUUUCUCCACGAUUUAGCUAUUUCUACAUUUGUUUUGUUUUUCAGUGCUGCCUAGCACCUGCCAACUUAUUUUUAAAACUACAGAAUUCCUGUUUGAAAAAUGAAGUAUGCAUGUAGAAGUGUGCUGUGCCCUGACUUUCAACAUAAUUUGGAACCCAAGAGAAAGGGACAUUAUCCUGAAAGUUUUAGUACUUCAGGACUUAGAAAAUCCAUAUUUGGCCGGGCGUUGGUGGCACACACCUUUAAUCCCAGCACUUGGGAGGCAGAGGCAGAUGGAUCUCUGUGAGUUCAAGACCAGCCUGGUCUACAAGAGCUAGUUCCAGGACAGCCUCCAAAAGCCACAGAGAAACCCAGUCUCGAAAAACCAAAAAAAAAAAAAAAAAAAAAAAAGGAAAGAAAAAGAAAAUCCAUAUUUGUUUAUUGGGUAGAAUUUUUCUUGUGUAAGGGACAGAAACUCAGUUCAAAACACCACCCCACUUGCUGUCAUAGUGGCAUUUCCUUUCUCGGAGGCCAUCUCUUCUCUGUCCUUGAGUCCCAGGUCUCAAAACUGACUGGUGUUACUGAGUUUUCUUGCCUGCCAGCCAGGUCCUGCAGCCAACUCAACCCCAAAUAAACACACAGAUGCUAUAUUAGUUAUAAAAGUG
rnacentral:lncRNA from 1 species